rnacentral:rRNA from 1 species
UACGAAGGUGGCAAGCGUUGUUCGGAUUUACUGGGCGUAAAGGGAGCGUAGGUGGUGCGGUAAGCCCUCCGGGAAAGCUUCAGGCUUAACCUGAAAAGGUCGGGGGGGACUGCCGCGCUAGAGGACGGGAGAGGAGCGCGGAAUUCCCGGUGUAGCGGUGAAAUGCGUAGAGAUCGGGAGGAAGGCCGGUGGCGAAGGCGGCGCUCUGGGCCGGUACUGACGCUGAGGAGCGAAAGCGUGGGGAGCGAACAGG